AAAACAUAUUCAAUUUAUUUGAUGCAAUAGGAUUCAUAAGAUUACAAAAGGCCUAAACUGAGAUAGUUACUUACGAAAAGAACAUUACAACUUGCACCACAAGAAUAACCCCAAAUGAACUAGAUCAACUCAUCCAGUUGAGACAACGACCCAAUUUCCACUAAUGUUCUUUAGUACCUGUUCAGGAAAAAUCUAAAUCUUAGUAAUAGUAAUGAGGUUAUUGCAAAAACUACCCCUGUGAAAUAUCUAAUUGUCAAAUACUCCCCUGUGGAAAAAAAUGUGACCAACUCCCCCCUGUGUUAUCAAAGUCAAAGCAUCUGGACCCCUGAAGCUAAAUCGUGUAUCUCACGCGCACUUUGUGUGAAUAUUUCUUUGUUUUCACUUGUGAAAUGUCAUAAAUGCCCACCACAAUCCUAUUUAUUUCAUACGCAGUCUAAAAUCCUCAAUUUUCCAUAAUCUCUCCCUUCUCUUUUCUUUUCUUUCAAUGCCCUAAUUCCAGCCGCUCAAUUUCACCUUCGAUUGCUCUGUGAUUUUAUCUCGAUUUCCGUUGAUAUUCUGAUAAUGUCGUCGUAUUCGUCUAGCAACACAGCGACGAGAAGUAAUUCGAAUCCAUUAAUGAAUUUGAGGCAGUGGCGUAUCUAGUAUGGUCCAAGGGUGUGCAGCUGCACACCCUUGAUUUAAAAAAAAAAAAAAUUCCUAUAUAUUUCCCUUUGUAUAACUGUAAAUCUGUAAUUUGAACAUGUAAAGCUGUAGCUGAAUUCGUAGAGUUCUUCCUUCCAUUCCAAUGAGGUCAUGAGUUCGAGAGCUUCUUGUAACAUUAUCCUCCUAUAUAGUUGUUUUUUUAUUUCUAAUUUUUCUUUAUUUCUAAUUUUUCUGUAUAUUACUCUAUUUAGUUGUUUUUUUAUUUCUGAGUUUUCUGUAUAUAUUCCUUUUUAAAUUCUAAUUUUUCUGUAUAUUAUUUAAAAUUUAACUUUCAAAAUUGGUUUGUAGUUUGUUGGUAGAAAUUUUUUACCCGUGCAAGAUUUAAUUUCCAUUACAUAAUUUCAAUUGUUUUCAAUUUUUUUUAAUAUGCAUGAGGGUAUUUUUUCAUAUUUCAAAAAAUCAAAAUCUCCUAAUAAAACGUAUAUUUUGCUAUUUGCAACUCUAAUUUAUUUACAAUUCCUUUAAUAUUUUAUAUUAUCUAAAUUAUUCCAAAAUUUUGAAUGUUAUAUAUAUAUAUAUAUAUAUAUAUAUAUAUAUAUAUAUAUAUAUAUAUAUAUAUAUAUAUAUAUAUAUAUAUAUAUUAUUUCAAUUGUUUUCUAAAUUUACGUCUGUGAGUAUUUUUUUAUAUUUUGAAAACUCAGAAUAUGCUAAUGUAAUACACAUUUUGUAACUUGCAACUUUAAUAUGUGUACCACUCAUUUAAUAUUUUCACCAAUUUUAUGUCUAAAUAUUUCAUAAAUUAGCCCAAAAUUUGUAAAAUAAUCCCUUUAAAUUUGAAAAUAUUACAUAUUUUUAUUAUUUAAUGUGUAUAGUAUUAAAAAAAAUCAGGGGCGCUGCCCCCGAACCCCCGUAAACUUUUACCCAACCAUUAUAUUUUUUACUAUAUUUAAUUCCGAACACCCUUGGCAAAAAUCCUGGAUUCGCCACUGAUUUGAGGUAUGGGAUUACUCCUCUAUGUUUAUGCAAAAUGAAAUCAAUAAUAAAAGUGGUUGAAUCAUCAACGAAACCAUCAAAGGGUAAGUUGUACUACUCUUGUGAACAUCGAUGCUGCAAUUUUUUUCGUUGGUGUGAACCAACUCGAGCAACUUGGGAGCCGAUGGGGGUUGCUGUACGAUUUUCGAAUUGGGAAGCCUCUGUAGAAGGUUUUUCGGAUGAAGUAGAUGAGCCACGUGAAGUAAUGUCUAACGGGAUUGAAGGAAGAAAAGGAGAUGCAAUUUUGCAUAUUUCCUGGGUUAUUAGUUUAGCAUUGUUUAUUAUGGUCGUUGUUUUGUUAUUGAAGCUGUAAAAAAACCUUUUUUAGCUACUUUUGUUUCAAUUAUGAUUGUAAUGAAUGAAGCUUUGAUGUUGGAAUGAAGUUUGUUCUAGCAUUUUUGUUUAUGUUUAUGUUUCUGUUACACAUUUCUUACAAAAUGAGAAAAUUUGUAAUAAAAAUUGGCAAAAACAACCUUGAAGUGAAAUGUAAUUUGUAAUUUGAAGUGAAAUGUAAUUUGCAAAAACAACCUGUUACUAAAACAAAUGCAAUCGCACACAUACACAACUCCCUGCUGCUAAAAAAAAUGCAAUCACACUCAUACACAAUUACAAAACCUGUACACAAGUACAUCAACAACACUAAUUGCACAGCAAAUUACUAAAAACAUAAUCUUCCAAUUAGGUUCAAGUUCAAAACCAAAAUGUCAUCCAAAAGUGAUAAUCAUCUAGAUUCAAAGUACAAAACCAAUCACAGCCAAAUUCAACAGAAAUCAUUAACCAAUCACUUUCAAAAUCAUACAAAAACUAUCCUAGUCAGUAGCCUUCAAAUGCAGCCAAAACAAUUACACAAUUUUCAAAAGCCAAAAACCAAACAAUCAAAGGACUUCUAAGGCUUCCACUGUCUCCUUUUCUUGGCAUUCUCCCUUAUAUUUUGAAGAACUUGAGAGAUCUCUAGCUUCCUUAUCCUUUUAUUGGCAAUGGGGUUGCUUGAACUUCCUCCAAGUAGGGUUGCAUUUCUCCUUCCCACAUACACCUACAAACAGAAAUUUAAAAAAUAGAGGUAAGUUGCAAACACAUAGCCAUCUCAAUAAAAACAAGAACAAAAAAAAAAAAAAAAAAAAAAGAGAGAGAGAGAGAGAGAAAGAAAACACUAGUAUCAUACAACCUUUCCAAUUGUUGAAGGCUGUUGUGCUCUUUCCAAACCAACUCCUGAUUCUUGAGUAGAAAUAGGAGCUGCAGCAGUUGUUUCAGCAUUUGAUUGGGCCAUUGUUUCAGUACUUGGUGCAACAAAAUUACUUUUGGACCUUGGUGCAGUGAAGUUCCUUUCUGCAGAAGGGUUACUUGGGGUAGUGGAUUUCCUUGGUGCAGAACUGGUUUGACCUCUUGUUGCAGAACUGGUUUGGGCUCUUGUUGCAGAAGUGGUUGCAGAAGUGGUUUGGCCUUUUGGUGCAGAAGUGGUUUGGGCUGUUGGUUCACCACUGGAAUUCCCCUAUGUGGUGUUUUGAGAAAACAACCAUCUAGACCAAUCAAUGGUCUACAACCUCCUAAAAAUCCCAUCCUCAUGCCUUUAAGACUGAAAAACAUUCUUUCAAAUAUUGGGGGUCAGAGAGAUACAAUUUCCUAAGCAAUACCUUUGUUCCAGGAUUAGUGCUUCUGAGGGUCUCACAGUAAUCCCAUAAUUGGGUGUAUUCUCUCUCAUCUUUGCCUCUUAUCUUGGUUAUUGCUACUCUUUUUGCCCUUAAUGCUUUCCAGUAACUAGAUUCAACCCCAACCUUCCUCAGUAUACUGUUUUGAAACUUUUGAAUACCAAUAUCUGCAUUGUCUUUAAUGCCUUGUUCCAUCCUCAUUCCAAGAUACUUGGCAGUGGCUUGUUUGUUCUCCCUUUUUCUUGAACAUGUGUGCUCACUUGUUAGGGUCUUAACCUAUAAACAUAACAUAUAAAUUCAUUAAUAUCAUUGGGAUCAAAAGAAAACAAUGAAGAAACAUAAACCAAAACAAAACACAAUACCUGAAACAUUUGACUUCCUUGAACAACAGAGGCAUGGAUCCUCCAUUUGCAAACCUCUUCCUUGCAUGUUGCAGUCACUCUUGUUCUUUCAUUCUUUAAGUACUCCAGUUCAUAUCCAUUUCUAACAACCCAAUCUAUAAGUGCUUGCCUAUAAAUGUCUACAUUUGGAAACUUCAUACCAACUUCAAGAUUUCUGUUUUUCAUUGUUUCCCCUUCACUGAAACUAGGAACUCUUCUCCUCUCACUGUCUAAGAAAUUCAGAUUUUCAAUAUCAUCUUCAUCAUCAACAUCACUAUACCAAUCAGUGGUCUGUUGAGAUGGAUUGACUCUGCAUUUUUUAUACCUCUGGACUGACCUUUUUUCCUUGUUCAACAUUUGCCUCAGUUUUCUAGCUAGAUCUUUCUUACUUGAAUGUCUGUCCAGAAAGAUAUCAUCUUCAGAUGAGCCUUCAAUGUCAGCAAACUCUUCACUUGGGGCAUCAGAGGGUAUAUCAUCAUCACCAUCUUCAUUGUCAGAUUGAACAUAAUCUUCAUCUGAAGAAUCAUCUUCAAAUAUUGGUGCAUCUUCUUCAUUAACUGGCUCAUCUUCAUUCAGUGAUGCCUCCUCUUCAUUCAGUGUUGCCUCUUCUUCAUUCGUUGGUGCCUUCUCUUGAUUCAGUGGUGCCUCCUCUUCAUUCAGUGCUUCCUCUUGAUUCAGUGCUGCCUCAUCUUCAGUCAUUGGUAUCUCAUUUUCCUCCUCUUGAUUCAGUGUUGCCUCCUCUUCAGUCAUUGGUCUCUCAUUUUCAUGCAGUGCCUCAUCUUCAUUCAGUGGUGCCUCAUUUUCAUUCAUUUGUGUCCCAUAUUCAUCCAUUGGUGCAUCAUCUUCAAUGUUUACAGUCUCUAUUGUCUCUCUUGUAUUCCCUUCACUGUACUUAAGCAGGAGAGUUGGUUCUUCAUCCACAAUCAAAUUUCCAUUCACAUCAAUUGCAAUUAAAGGUUCUCUGUCAUUCUCUUCUGUAUACAAUGUUAGAUGCUCUAUGUCUUCAUGUGCUGACACUAGGAAUUGGAUACUAAUAUCAUCUUCAAUCAUCCUCAAUCCCUCAUGAAGUGAUAGUCCAGGAUAAACAAAGUAGAACUGAAUAUUAGUUUUUUUCCCCCCACUCAUACGAUAUAUCUGGUAUAGGUUAUCUAGGUUCAUGUAGUCUAAGCAAAUUCGAUCCACCACUUCCAUUUUGCCACCUACAUAAGCCAGUUUGGGUGUAUGGACAAAUUUACCAUUCAACCAAAUAGUAACUGUACACAACUUGUUCAUUCUGCAUAAAAAAAUGGUACAAACUGUCAAACACAAUUGUUCAAUUAAUUAUUAUUAUUACUUUGCAAGUUCACCAACAAAGUAAUAAAGUGCCCUACUUCUACAUACCCCACACCAUUUUUUUAAAGUUUUCAAUUCAAACAACAAGACAACAAAAAAUGGUCAUAAAAAACUGAUGCCAGAAAAUAAUUAAAAAAACCCUACAAAGCAAAAAAUCUUGUUGUUACAGACAAGCAAACAAAAAAACAGAUCCCCACAAAAUAAAAUAUUAAAUGUAGCCUUUCUCAAAAAGUUCCCAACUCACGAAUAUAAUAUACAAAACCUUACAAAUACAAAAGCCUACAUACUUUAACAUUCCCCCAACUCUAGUUACCGAGAAAAAAACACAAACGAGACAGAAUACUACAAACCUUAAUUCUUGUUUCUCUUCGUUGCGAAUUGACUCCGUAUCUCAAAUAUGACUUCUUGGCGCCUUCAAUAGACGAGAGGGGAAGCUAUUUCAAGUUUCAAUCGACGCAAACAGCAUUUUUUCACAAGCAGAUUCACAAUUUUUUUGGGGAAUCGUGUUUUAGGGUUUUCAGAGGCAGGUGUAAAUUGGGAGCGAGAGUGAAAUAGGUUUAUCGAGAUAGUGAAAAUGGGUUUACUGCUGUUUAUUUCAUUGAGGGGUAUAAUGGUAGUUUCACACGCGGUCAAUGUUUAAAAAAGCAAUGGGUGCGGUGAGCUUUGUAAUUCAUGACACAGGGGGGAGUUGGUCACAUUUUUUUCCACAGGGGGUAUUUGCCAAUUAGAGAUUUCACAGUGGUAGUUUUUGCAAUAAACUCUAAUAGUAAUAGAGUAAAUUGAAGAUAAAUUGUCAGAAGCUUCCUAGUUAUGCAACCAUUGUCUAUUGAUAUUGAAAAAUUGGGUCAAAUAAAUUAUAGAAUAAGUCAACAAGAAUAAAUUUGAGACAACGAAUUGAUCCAAUAAAAAAUUGACAAAAAAAUAGCAAAUAUUUGGUUCAAAUAGUAAAGUAUCGGUUCCUACUACAGGUAGGACUUGAAAUGAGUCAACAACUUCAUUGGACUUAUAUCUAUAAGUUGAUGCAUAGAUAAUAGAAAAUAUACAUAAUAAGAGUAGCAAAUUAUAAAUCUGCAUCUUGUUUGCAACGGCAACUUCAUCGUUGGAGUUAUAUCUACAAACUCAUAAAUGGAUAGUUGAAUAAUAUAGAAAACAAUAGUAACAAAUUAUAAACUCACAUCUUAUUGCAAUGUCAUAUUUCUUUCCUCCAUAAAGCCUCGAUGCACAGCUUGUAACGAAUUUAUCAGCAUUCAAUUUUU
rnacentral:lncRNA from 1 species